UAGAUGUCCCCAGCAGUGAGCAGGGCGGUCCGGAUCUUCUCUGCCACAGCGGUCAUCUGCCGAGACUCGCCCACAGUCAGCAGGUCAAUCACUGGCAGGCAAGGGUCAUCAAGUAGUGCCUCCCCACCGGGUCUGGGAGCCCGCGGGCCCGAGGCUCUCUUGCAAAUACAGAAACGGCGCCCGGCAACCUUGAGAUGCCCCCACCAGGUGGCGCAAGGGAGCCACCGUGCUGAUCCCAGGCAGAAGUAGCACCUGGUGCCCACAGCACAGAACUGGAAAAGCAGUUUCUCUUUAUGCUGCUGCGUUUGGCUGCUUCCACACCCAGAUGCCCCUCCUCCCAUCCUGGGGGCUCAGCACACUCACUUUGGAUGAGAAGAGCUGCCCACUGAGGGCUCCAACCCUCCUGUCUGCCUCUCCCCCUCGGGAAUGUAGGACCGGGCUCCUGUG